UGUUUUCACUCCUAAAUCAUAAUAUGUAAUAUCAACUCAUAAGUUUGAAUAGUUUCUCCUUUCAUAUCAACUACACAUAAGACACACUUUUUGAGGUCUUUCGGGUUGUAACGGGGCUUGGGUUAUGGUGUGGAUAUUCCAAAUAAAACGGGAAACAAAUGGUUUUUGGUUCAGAGUCAAUGUUACUAUUAUUUUCACUGUGUUUGUUC
rnacentral:lncRNA from 1 species